rnacentral:rRNA from 1 species
AAUCAACGCUGGCGGCGUGCCUCAGACAUGCAAGUCGAACGAUUAAAGCUCUCUUCGGAGAGUGUAUAGAGUGGCGCACGGGUGAGUAACACGUAAGUAAUCUACCUUCGAGUGGGAGUACCGUCCGGAACGGACGCUAAUACCGCAUAAUGCAGCGGCAUCGUAAGAUGACAGUUGUUUAAAGAUUUAUUCGCUUGAAGAGGAGCUUGCGGCA